UACGUAGGGCGCAAGCGUUAUCCGGAAUUAUUGGGCGUAAAGAGCUCGUAGGCGGCUUGUCGCGUCGGAUGUGAAAGCCCGGGGCUUAACUCCGGGUCUGCAUCGAUACGGGCAGGCUAGAGUUCGGUAGGGGAGAUCGGAAUUCCUGGUGUAGCGGUGAAAUGCGCAGAUAUCAGGAGGAACACCGGUGGCGAAGGCGGAUCUCUGGGCCGAUACUGACGCUGAGGAGCGAAAGCGUGGGGAGCGAACGGG
rnacentral:rRNA from 1 species